UACGUAGGGGGCAAGCGUUGUCCGGAUUUACUGGGCGUAAAGGAUGCGUAGGCGGACAUUUAAGUCAGAUGUGAAAUACCCGAGCUUAACUUGGGUGCUGCAUUUGAAACUGGGUGUCUAGAGUGCAGGAGAGGUAAGUGGAAUUCCUAGUGUAGCGGUGAAAUGCGUAGAGGAUUAGGAAGAACACCAGUGCGAAGGCGACUUACUGGACUGUAACUGACGCUGAGGCAUGAAAGCGUGGGGAGCAAACAGG
rnacentral:rRNA from 1 species